AAAAACAUCGCCUUUAGCCCCACAAGUAUUAAAGGUCCCGCCUGCCCAGUGAAUAAUUUUUAACGGCCGCGGUAUCCUAACCGUGCAAAGGUAGCGUAAUCACUUGUCCCCUAAAUAGGGACCUGUAUGAAUGGCUAACUGAGGGCACACCUGUCUCCUGGCGCCAACUAAUGAAACUGAUCUACUGGUACAAAAGCCAGAAUUACCCCACAAGACGAGAAGACCCUGUGGAGCUUAUAACACCCCCACUACUAGUCGCACCCUCCAAUAACACGCACAACUAGCUAGCGGGCGGUUUAAGUUGGGGCGACUACGGAGCACAACAAACCCUCCAAGAAAUAUAAGGCUAACCCCCUACUAUUAGGCACACACGCCAACKAGGUAUAACCCNUCGACCCNGUAUAACUGAUCACCGAACCAAGUUACCCCAGGGAUAACAGCGC
rnacentral:rRNA from 1 species